UACGGGGGAGGGCAAGCGUUGUCCGGAUUUACUGGGCGUAAAGGGCGCGUAGGCGGUCGUGACAAGUCACUUGUGAAAUCUCCGGGCUUAACUCGGAACGGUCAAGUGAUACUGUCGGACUAGAGUACAGAAGGGGCAACUGGAAUUCCCGGAGUAGCGGUCAAAUGCGUAGAUCUCGGGAGGAACACCGAUGGCGAAGGCAGCUUCUUGGCUCAUUCCUGACGUUGAUGCACGAAAGCGUGGGGAGCAACAGG
rnacentral:rRNA from 1 species